rnacentral:rRNA from 1 species
GCUUAACCAUAGAACUGCUUGGGAAACUGAUAAUCUAGAGUGAGGGAGAGGCAGAUGGAAUUGGUGGUGUAGGGGUAAAAUCCGUAGAGAUCACCAGGAAUACCCAUUGCGAAGGCGAUCUGCUGGAACUCAACUGACGCUAAUGCGUGAAAGCGUGGGGAGCAAACAGGAUUAGAUACCCUGGUAGUCCACGCCCUAAACGAUGUAUACUAGUUGUUGCUAAGCUAGUCUUGGCAGUAAUGCACCUAACGGAUUAAGUAUACCGCCUGGGGAGUACGGUCGCAAGAUUAAAACUCAAAGGAAUAGACGGGGACCCGCACAAGCGGUGGAGCAUGUGGUUUAAUUCGAGGAUACGCGAAGAACCUUACCCGGACUUGAUAUCUAACAAAUCAUCUAGAGAUAGAAGAGUGUCUGCUUGCAGAAAUGUUAAGACAGGUGCUGCACGGCUGUCGUCAGCUCGUGUCGUGAGAUGUUGGGUUAAGUCCCGCAACGAGCGCAACCCACGUCAUUAGUU